CUCACCCUCGUCUCUUCAGAGACCACCCCCAAAACCCUAGCAGCCACCCCUUUUUCCCACCGCUUUAGGGUGGCGGCGCCACCUCCAAUCACUCCCAAAAUAACACCCCAUGACCACCAAAACCCCAUCUUCCCAAAUCCUUACUCCAUUCCCCUCGAAUAUGGCUGAAACUCUUCGAAUAUUGAAUCUGAGCUCAAGCCCUAGAAGCCAAAUCCCGACCAGUGCAUGCAAGGUUAAUGCUCCAGUUUCUUAUGAGUGUUCAAUGCCGAUCUUAUCACGAAACAAUGUUAUUUGCCUGUUCUUGACAAAGAACAGGUUAUUGACAUUAUUUCGUGAUUUAAAUUGGAAGGUCAGUCAGGUUCGAGCCCUGAAUCGGUGAGUUUCUCUUAGUCGUUUGUUUGUUCUUGAUAUUUCACCUCCUGUUCUUCUUCGUCAUUUCCUCUCCGUGUAGUUGAGCUUUCUUCCUACUGAAACUAGUUUGAACCCAGCUUCUUCCCUUUUAGGUUAAUUUGUUUCUUCAUACUUGCUUCCCUUCAUGUUUGGUUUUUCUUCGCAAAUUGCUAAUAUCUGUGCCCCGAUUUUGUCUGCCCAUUUUUGCUUAGGUUUUAGGGUUUAAAUUUCUAAUUUUCCCCUCCUUUUUCUCACUGAUCUUUUACAAUGUAGUAUUUUCUAUUUUAUUUGUUUAAUUUCAUUUGUUUCAUUUUCUUUGUUUAAUUGAUGAUCUAUAAUAGUCAAUUCUGAGUUUGAUUAGUAAAAAUUAACUCAUGCCUAAAAUCAGAGGUGCUUGUGUUUACCCUCAAGUUUUGGAUUUGUUCUUUCUCUGGUUUCGUUUGGUUAGUUCUAAGUACUCAACCCCUUAUAAGUAACUAUGGUUACCACUGACCUAGUUAAAAGGGCUGGUUUAGUUGGACUUUAGGUUAACUUAACCCAAGUUAACAAUUGAGGGGUAAAUAACCGGGGUUUUAAGGGUAGUCUAGGAAAUCUAAGUAGGGAAUAUUUUAGUAACUGAAUAGGAAGCUUCUAGGAAGCUGGGGAGGGGGACUGAUUUUAAGCUCUGAAAUUUAAAUAAAGGACUCCUAAGCAAAAAACAAAAAUUCCAGAAGGUUUUAAGUACAAAUGUGAAUUCUUUAAGGCUGCCCUAAUGCCUUGCCUAUAAAGGCAUCAUAACUUGGCAUUCAUGGGAGGAGGUUUUUGGAAGAAAAAAGAAAGACUGAAAACUGAAACAGCUGAGUCCCUUUGGAAAAUUCUGAAUCCAUUACAUUAUUUGUUUAGAAAACUGCUCAAACUCUGCUCAUUUAGGAGUCUUCUGAUUUGAUUUGGUGAACAAAACUUCUGAAAAAUCAUAGCUUCUCAUUUUGGGAUUUGAAAUGGAUUGAAUUUGGGUCUUGGAAAGAGUUUUGGUUUAAGUUCUGCUGGUUGGUCACUGUUCCAUUAGUUUCUCUAGGCUAAUUUCAUUGUUCGACUGAUUGAAUCUGGGGCUGUAUUCUGCUACUAUUUACUGCUGAUCCUUCACUUCUUUUUCCUUUGCAAAUUCCAGGUAUGCCUUUGAAACUGUCAUGGAAUUGAAGCUUGACUGAAUCUGUGUAAAGAUCUGGAAACUUGAGUUGGAAUUUAAAUGGAAACACUAGUUCUUGCUGUAAUUACUGCUAGUUUCUGCUAUCUUAUGUUAUUAAAUUCCCCAGUUCUGUAGUAAUUUAGUUCUCUUGCAUAUGUUGGUUUGUUUGUUCAUGUUAGUGGCUUAAGGUGGUGUUGGUUUCUUAGGAUAGGUGUUUAAAUUCGGAAUGUCAGCAUUGUAAUAAUGUUUGAACUCUAUUGUAUGAAUGAACUGUUAGACAUGUUGUAGUAGAAGAUUGCUUGAGGGUGUCAGUUUAGUGUUCCUAUAGUUUGAAAUUAGAUUUUGUCAUAUUGAAGUGUUGUCCAGGGUCCUGCUUUGUAAUUUGAAAAGCAUUGCAGUAUUGUACUUAGUCAAAACUGCCUUUUUAAAUGAUCUAAGUGAGCUUAAAUUUCCUAUGUUUGUUUGUGGGAUUAGUUUGGAGAUUAAAUACAAGCAUGAACCUCUGUUGCUUGUUAUCAGUGCACUUGAUGAUAGAAGUGUUUGGUGAGCUAAUAGCUUGUGGAGG
rnacentral:lncRNA from 1 species